rnacentral:rRNA from 1 species
CCUACGGGAGGCAGCAGUGGGGGAUAUUGCACAAUGGGGGGAACCCUGAUGCAGCGACGCCGCGUGGGUGAAGGAGCGUUUCGGCGCGUAAAGCCCUAUCGGCAGGGAGGAAGAUGACGAUACCUGGCCAAGUAGCCCCGGCCAACUACGUGACAGCAGCCGCGGUAAUACGGAGGGGGCAAGCGUGAUCCGGAUUUACUGGGUGUAAAGGGGGCGCAGACGGCAAUGCAAGCCAGGAGGGAAAGCCCGGGGACCAACCCCGGGACUGCUCUUGGAACUGCAUGGCUGGAGUACAGGAGGGGCAGGCGGAAUUCCUAGUGUAGCGGUGAAAUGCGUAGAUAUUAGGAGGAACACCGGUGGCGAAGGCGGCCUGCUGGACUGUGACUGACGCUGAGGCCCGAAGGCGUGGGGAGCAAACAGGAUUAGAUACCCCUGUAGUC